CAGGUGUCCCUGUUUUCCA
rnacentral:misc_RNA from 1 species